rnacentral:rRNA from 1 species
GAUGAACGCUGGCGGCGUGCCUAACACAUGCAAGUCGAGCGGCAGCGAGGGGUGCUUGCACCCUGUCGGCGAGCGGCGGACGGCUGAGUAACGCGUGGGAACGUGCCCCAAAGUGAGGAAUAACUGCCCGAAAGGGUAGCUAAUACCGCAUAUUAUCUUCGGAUCAAAGGAUUUAUCCGCUUUGGGAGCGGCUCGCGUCGGAUUAGGUAGUUGGUGAGGUAAUGGCUCACCAAGCCGACGAUCCGUAGCUGGUCUGAGAGGAUGACCAGCCAGACUGGAACUGCGACACGGACAAGACGCAGACGGGAGGAAGCAGUGAGGAAUCUGCCACGAGGGGCGAAAGACUGAUGGAGCAACGCAGAGUGCAGGACGAAGGCAGUCGGGUUGUAAAAUGCUUUUAUAAGUGAGGAAUAUGACGGUAACUUAUGAAUAAGGAUAGGAUAAAUACGUG